rnacentral:lncRNA from 1 species
UUUGUAAAAUAUCUUAGUUUAUACAAAUUUCCAAGAGAACCAGAGACUAGACGCCAAUGCUAUCUAUUCUAAAGUGACACAGCCAAUGUCAAGAAAGACCAGAGGAACAUCAAGCAUGCAUAGGGAUAUCUUACAGGACCCAAUUCUUACCAUUUGCUUUCUUUUAAAAUUUUUAUUUUAUUUUAUUUUUUAUUUUUUUUACCAUUUGCUUUCUACUGGCAGGUAAGAUACUAGGAACUAGAUGUUAGAAGCUUCUUUGUAUGUCUGAGAAGAGCUGAACACUUCUACUAUGAUUGUCAGAAAAUAUGCCAUCUCCCAUUGCCCAGGUUUACACCCAAGUCUAGGGCCAGAGCAUCUCUUCAGUGGUAACUAGGUAAUCUAGGUAUCUAUGAGCAAUCACAGGUAAGAAGUGUGGGAGACUUAGUGCUUGGCCUUCUACUUUUUACAAGAUAAGAAUUCAAGCUAAAACAACGUUCAAAAUAAUGUUAAUGAGCUUGUCUAUGUGUUGGAAACACUGGAGAGAAUUUCUGAGUAGGAUCACUGUAUUGUGCCACUUCAAGGAAUUCUGUUUAAAAUGAACCAACACUAGUUAGGGCUGGAGAAAUAUGUCAGCAUUUAAUUUUCUUGCAGAGGACCUAAGGUUGGUUUCCAGUAUCUGUAUCACAGCUUAUAACUCCCCUUAACUCCAUUUCCAAGGUAUCUGAUGCCCUCUUCUGUCCUCCAAGAGCACUACAAGCACACAAUGCACACACAAUACAUGUAGGCAAAACACUCAUAUCUUUCCUUAAAAGCUUUAAAUGAGCCAGUAACCCAGAGGCACACAAAGCAAUGCAGCGAUGGUCAGUACCGUUGCUAUCACUCUUGGUUGCUCACCAGAAGAAGAUGGUAAGAGCCUAUUGCUGAAAACAGCACAGAUUUUGGUUGUAGGACAUGCAGAGAUCAUUCUGGAACUAAGAAACAUCUUCCCUGCUGGUUAGUUUUCAUAGUGCGGGAAGCUAUGUAGGUCACUGAGGCAGAAAAUUAACAGUUUUAUGCAAUACUGGAUUCCAAAUGCUGCAAUAAUGACCUGGCAGAUGAGAUGGACAUUUGUGGCCUGACUGUUUGAGGAUAGGCAACGAUUUUCUGCUUGAAUUUAAGGAAUGCUCUGCAGGAGGGGAUUUAUGUCUGAUAUAGUAAACUUGGUCAGAAGCCCAUGGCUCGGGAGGUAAUAGGUCCUAUAGGCUAGUCUACUAUUGUUAUUUUGCAAAUUGUCAUGUUGAACUGUCUUCUAAAUAUUGUUUAUGUCUGCUCUCAACCUUGGUCAGAUAAGCUCCUUUUAGCAGUGGAUAGUGGUUACUGCAAAGACUCGUGGCUGUUGCACUCAUAAACUCUAGUAGCUGUGGUUACCUGCACAAGAGCAAGCCAGUCAAAAUUCCAGCAUGGCGGGACAAGAGGCACAAAAGUCCACCUCUAGCUGAGGAGUGUGUUUGGAGGUCAGAAGACAACUUGAAGGAGUUGGUUUGUGGUAGGUUCCUGACAGCCAGGAAAAGAAAAACAGGAAACAGCUGGAUGGCCAGUGUCCUUGAGGGUCUACUGUUUUACCACACCUCUCCUGCGGUACCUUCCCUCCCCUUUCUCUCCCAUUUCCCGCCCAGUCCAGUUAUUGUAAUAUUAAAGCCUAGUAGUCUCAACUCC